GUGGCAAAAUUACAGUUAAGAAGUAGCAACAAAAAUAAUUUUAUGGUUGGGGGUCACCACAACAUGAACUACUAAAGGGUCGCGGCAUUAGGAAGAUUGAGAACCACUGGCCUAGGACAUUACAGUAGACUGACAACACUUGGGCUACAUGAAAUUUAUAAACUUUUUUCAUAAUUAAAUUUAGCUUACUGUAACUUUUUACCUUUGUCUUAAUUUUUUGAAUCUUUUAUAAUAACACUAAGCUUAAAACACUUUUUGUACAUCUGUACAGAAAUGUUUUCUUUAUAUUCUUAUUCAGUACACAUUUUUCCUACUAAAAUUAAAAAAAAAUUUUUAGACUUUGUUAAAAAUUAAGACAUAAACACAAUUAGCCCAGGCCCAUAGGGUCAUCAGUAUCACUGCCUUCUACCUCCGUAUCUUGUUCCACUGGAAGGUCUACAGGGGGGCAAUAACAUACAUGGAGCUCUCAUCUAUGACAACAGUGCCUCCUGAAAACUUCCUGGAGGACCUGCCUUAAGGCUAUUUCUGAAGCUGUUACUCUUCAAAAAUUUGACCAUUGUGGUUUGCUGGGCUUGUUUUUCUAUUACUGGUUGACUGCAGGUAACUGAAACCAUGGAAAGGGGCACUGCAGAUAAGGGGGACUACAGUAAAACAGUUCUCAAGGAAACAAGUAAAAUCAGAAGUUGGAUUCAAGCUGGAAGCAAAAUGGGUGGAACUGGUCAAUCCACUAGCCAAUACCACCAAGCACGAUAGUCUGGUGCACUGCUGUGCUAGGAAACCACACCGUCAUGAAGACAUCCUGGAGUCUGCCAAUGAGGACAGGGGCAGUCCACCAACAAGGAACGACAUUUCACGGACAAGCUAUAUUGACAUUCAAGAGCAAGGCUCCUGGCUCUGAGUUCAAGAUGGCAGAGUAGGAAGAUCCUGAGUUCACCUCCUCUCAUUGACACCAAAACUACAACUAUAUAUAGAACAGCUCUCUGAGAAUGACCUGAAGACUAGCAGAGCAGAUUUUCUACAGCUAUGGAUAUAAAGGAAAAGCCACAUUGAAACAGUGUUAGGAAGGAUUUUUGCUAUUUGAAGGAGUGGAUUAUGAGGGCAGUGACAGCAACAAAGACAGUGAUAACAACUCGGGGGGUUUGCAUUGGAAUCUACCUCAGGAUCCUAGAGAGGAGCUGACUCAGCAGAGUGGAAAAAGCAGGUACUAGAAUCAGACCUAUCUCUCUGCACGGGCAUUAAGGGUAGGGUCCCAACUGAGUAGUCUCUCUAGCUUUAAUGCUUGGCACAUGGUGGGCGUUCAAUAAAUGCUUGUUGAAUGAGUGGUUCAAACAUCAAAUACUAUUUUUUCUCAGGUUAUGAAUUUCUAAAAUUAGAAACUAAUUACUUGAAAGAUGGCAUACUUUUUGUUUUUUUACUUUUCAUUGAAAUAAUUCUCAACAUACAGAAAAGUUGCAAAUAUUGAGAAUUUUGACAUAUUUAUAUUCACGAGGACUUUACAUUUUGCUACAUUUUCUCUUUUGCAAAAAGACUAUUUUAGAGCAGUUUUAGAUUUAUAACGAAACUAGAGGCCCGGUGCACAACAUUCGUGCACUGGGGGAGUGGGGGAGGGGGGGUGGCCCUCAUCCUGGCCUUCAAUAUUGGGUUGGCUAUUUUGGGUCUUUUGCCUCUCCAUAUAAACUUUACAAUUAGUUUAUUGCCAUCCACAAAAUUACUUGCUGGGAUUUUAAUUGAAUUGCAUUGAAUCUAUAGAUCAAGUUGAGAAGACUGACAUCUUGACAAUAUUGACCAUACCUGCUUGUUAAUGAACAUGGAAUUUACAUUUGUUUAGUUCUUCUUUGAUUUUAUUCAUUGAAAUUUUGUAGUUUUCCUUAAAAAAAAUCUUGUACAUAUUUUGUUAGAUUUAUAUCUAAAUGUUUCAUUUUUUUGGAAGCCAAUGUAAAUGGAUUGUAUUUUAAAUUUCAAAUAUCACUUGUUCAUUAUUGGUAUAUAGGAAAGCAAUUGACUUUUGUAUAUUAACCUUGUAUUCUACAACCUUGCUACAAUUGCUUAUUAGUACCAGGAGUUUUGGGUUGAUUUUUUUUCUCCAUAGACAAUCACAUCAUUUGUAACUAAGGAUAGUUUUACGUCUUCCUUCUUAACCUAUACACCUUUCAUUUCCUUUUCUUGACUUAUUGCAUUAGCAAGGCCCUCCAGUAUGGUGCUGAAAAGUAGUGGUGAGAAGGGACAUUCUUGCCUUGUACCUGUUCUUAGUGAGAAAGCUUUGAGGUUCUUGCCAUUAAAUAUGAUGUUAGCUAUAGGUUUGUUGUAAAUAAUUUUUUAAAAAAAUAUUUUAUUGAUUUUUUACAGAGAGGGAUAGAGAGUUAGAAACAUCGAUGAGAGAG